UCCGUCGUGGUGCAGUGGUAGCCCGCCAGUCCACAGAAGACAAGUCUUGGGUUGAGUGCCUGCCCAGCCUCAACGCGGAUGUCCCCCACAUCCGUGGCCUGCCUGCCAACCAGGCCUCAAGCUUGCUCUGAAAAGACUGGAGACCCGAGUUCGAUUCUCGGCGACGGAA